UGAGGAAUAUUGGACAAUGGGCGAAAGCCUGAUCCAGCCAUGCCGCGUGUGUGAAGAAGGUCUUCGGAUUGUACAGCACUUUAAGUUGGGAGGAAGGGCAGUAAGCGAAUACCUUGCUGUUUUGACGUUACCGACAGAAUAAGCACUGGCUAACUCUGUGCCAGCAGCCGCGGUAAUACAGAGGGUGCAAGCGUUAAUCGGAAUUACUGGGCGUAAAGCGCGCGUAGGUGGUUCGUUAAGUUGAAUGUGAAAGCCCCGGGCUCAACCUGGGAACUGCAUCCAAAACUGGCGAGCUAGAGUAGGGCAGAGGGUGGUGGAAUUUCCUGUGUAGCGGUGAAAUGCGUGGAUAUAGGAAGGAACACCAGUGGCGAAGGCGACCACCUGGGCUCAUACUGACACUGAGGUGCGAAAGCGUGGGGGGCAAACAGG
rnacentral:rRNA from 1 species